rnacentral:rRNA from 1 species
AGCAGCCGCGGUAAUUCCAGCUCCAAUAGCGUAUAUUAAAGUUGUUGCAGUUAAAAAGCUCGUAGUUGAAUUUCGGGGUCAAUAAGUUGGUCAUGCCAAUGGUAUGCACUGGCUUUAUUGAUUCCUACCUCUUGACGAACUGUGAUGCCAUUAAUUUGGUGCUGCAAGGAAUCAGGACUGUUACCUUGAAAAAUUAGAGUGUUUAAAGCAAGCUUACGCUUGAAUACAUUAGCAUGGAAUAAUGAAAUAGGACGUUUGAUCCUAUUUUGUUGGUUUCUAGGAUCGACGUAAUGAUUAAUAGGGAUAGUUGGGGGCAUUAGUAUUCAAUUGUCAGAGGUGAAAUUCUUGGAUUUAUUGAAGACUAACUACUGCGAAAGCAUUUGCCAAGGAUGUUUUCAUUAAUCAAGAACGAAAGUUAGGGGAUCGAAGACGAUCAGAUACCGUCGUAGUCUUAACCAUAAACUAUGCCGACUAGGGAUCGGAUGAUGUUAAUUUUUAAUGACUCU